CUAAUGAGCCCUUGUAAUCCUGAAGUUAUGAUGCUGGGAAUGUGGCCUGCCAGAAGCAUUUCUCUCCCUGCACUCCACCACAUGCCUCAGAUUGAGCUGCCAACAUUACAUGGAAAAUGUUGGAGAAGAAGGAAAUUAUCCCUUUCAAUUUCUGCCAUUUCAUUUAUCUUGAUUCCCUGGAUUUUACGGGGGCAAAUUGUAGCGAAGUCAAGAAGGGGAGCAUGCUAUCUGACUUGAGGCAGUGAAACUGAGAUUUAUUGCAUAAGCAGCAGUGUAACCACAGGUGGCUCAAAGGAGGAAUCAGAAGUGUCUUGAAUGCUGUACCUGUUCAGAUUUGCAUCAGUUCUUCACCGUCUGAAUUCUGCUUGGAUAGCAGCUCAGUUG
rnacentral:lncRNA from 1 species